GUGCUCGCUUCAGCAGCACAUAUACUAAAAUUGGAAUGAUUCAGAGAAGAUUAGCGUUGCCCCUGCUCAAGGAUGAUAUGCAAAUUAAUGAAGUGUUCCAUAUUUUU